rnacentral:rRNA from 1 species
UACGUAGGGUGCGAGCGUUGUCCGGAAUUAUUGGGCGUAAAGAGCUCGUAGGCGGUGUGUCGCGUCGGCCGUGAAAGCCUGCAGCUUAACUGUGGGCUUGCGGUCGAUACGGGCAUCACUGGAGUUCGGCAGGGGAGACUGGAAUUCCUGGUGUAGCGGUGAAAUGCGCAGAUAUCAGGAGGAACACCGGUGGCGAAGGCGGGUCGCUGGGCCGAUACUGACGCUGAGGAGCGAAAGCGUGGGGAGCGAACAGG